rnacentral:rRNA from 1 species
GUGAAUCAUCGAAUCUUUGAACGCACAUUGCGCCCUCUGGUAUUCCGGGGGGCAUGCCUGUUCGAGCGUCAUUGCAACCCCUCAAGCACAGCUU